GUCCCCAUCGUCUAGUGGCCCAGGACACUGGCUUUUCACGCCUGUAACGCGGGUUCAAACCCCGCUGGGGACACCA
rnacentral:tRNA from 1 species